rnacentral:rRNA from 1 species
CCUGGUUGAUCCUGCCAGUAGUCAUAUGCUUGUCUCAAAGAUUAAGCCAUGCAUGUCUAAGUUCAAGUGAAAAUAAAGUGAAACCGCGAAUGGCUCAUUACAUCAGUUAUGGUUCCUUAGAUUGUACUAACUGCUUGGAUAACUGUGGUAAUUCUAGAGCUAAUACAUGCGCUGGGCUCCGACCUGUGAAGGAAGGGGCGCUUUUAUUAGAUCAAAGCCAAUCGGGGUUUCGGCUCCGUAUUUCUGGUGACUCUGAAUAACAUUGCUGAUCGUACGGCCUUGUGCCGACGACGAGUCUUUCAAGUGUCUGCCUUAUCAACUGUCGAUGGUAGGUUAUGCGCCUACCAUGGUUGUAACGGGUAACGGGGAAUCAGGGUUCGAUUCCGGAGAGGGAGCCUGAGAAACGGCUACCACAUCCAAGGAAGGCAGCAGGCGCGCAAAUUACCCACUCCCGGCACGGGGAGGUAGUGACGAAAAAUAACGAUACGGAACUCAUACAGGCUCCGUAAUCGGAAUGAGUACACUUUAAAUCCUUUAACGAGGAUCUAUUGGAGGGCAAGUCUGGUGCCAGCAGCCGCGGUAAUUCCAGCUCCAAUAGCGUAUAUUAAAGUUGUUGCGGUUAAAAAGCUCGUAGUUGGAUCUCGGUUUCACUCAGGUGGUACACCUUGCGGUGUUCACUAUCUGGGUGGACGUUUCUGUUGGUUCGCUCUUGGUGCUCUUCAUCGGGUGCCAUUUGGUGGCCAGCACGUUUACUUUGAAAAAAAUUGGAGUGCUCAAAGCAGGCGUUACAGCCUGAACAUUAGUGCAUGGAAUAAUGGAAUAGGAUCUCGAUUCUAUUUCGUUGGCUUUCGGAGUCGAGGUAAUGAUUAAUAGGGACAGACGGGGGCAUUCGUACUGCGACGUUAGAGGUGAAAUUCUUGGAUCGUCGCAAGACGAACCACUGCGAAAGCAUUUGCCAAGAAUGUUUUCAUUAAUCAAGAACGAAAGUUAGAGGUUCGAAGGCGAUCAGAUACCGCCCUAGUUCUAACCAUAAACGAUGCCAACCGGCGAUCCGUCGUCGUUAAUUGAAUGACUCGACGGGCAGCCUCCGGGAAACCAGAGUGUUUGGGUUCCGGGGGAAGUAUGGUUGCAAAGCUGAAACUUAAAGGAAUUGACGGAAGGGCACCACCAGGAGUGGAGCCUGCGGCUUAGUUUGACCCAACACGGGAAAUCUCACCAGGCCCGGACACCGGAAGGAUUGACAGAUUGAGAGCUCUUUCUUGAUUCGGUGGGUGGUGGUGCAUGGCCGUUCUUAGUUGGUGGAGCGAUUUGUCUGGUUAAUUCU